rnacentral:rRNA from 1 species
UACGGGGGGGGCAAGCGUUGUUCGGAAUUACUGGGCGUAAAGGGCUCGUAGGCGGCUAACUAAGUCGGAUGUGAAAUCCCCAGGCUUAACCUGGGAACUGCAUCCGAUACUGGAUGGCUUGAAUCCGGGAGAGGGAUGCAGAAUUCCAGGUGUAGCGGUGAAAUGCGUAGAUAUCUGGAGGAAUACCGGUGGCGAAGGCGGCAUCCUGGACCGGCAUUGACGCUGAUGAGCGAAAGCUAGGGGAGCAAACGGG